UGUCUCCUUUUUCAAUCAGUGAAAUUAAUCUCCCCGUGAAGAAGCGGGGAUACUCAUAUAAGACGAGAAGACCCCAUGGAGCUUCAAACCCAACUACACCCCUAGCUCUUAUAGCCCCACAACCCCCCUAGGCACCGUGUGCUUGGUUUUAGGUUGGGGCGACCGCGGAGUACAAUAAAACCUCCACAAUGAAUGGGAACACCCCCUUAUCUGAGGGCCACACCCCCUAAGAAUUAGAACACUAACAUAAAAUGAUCCAUUACUUGAUCAAUGAACCAAGUUACCCUGGGGAUAACAGCGCAAUCCAUUUCAAGAGCCCCUAUCGACAAAUGGG
rnacentral:rRNA from 1 species